GACGAACGCUGGCGGCGUGCUUAACACAUGCAAGUCGAACGCUGAAGCUCAGCUUGCUGGGUGGAUGAGUGGCGAACGGGUGAGUAACACGUGAGUAACCUGCCCUCUUCUUUGGGAUAACGCCCGGAAACGGGUGCUAAUACUGGAUAUUCACUGAUUCUCGCAUGGGGGUUGGUGGAAAGGUUUUUUCUGGUGGGGGAUGGGCUCGCGGCCUAUCAGCUUGUUGGUGGGGUGAUGGCCUACCAAGGCUUUGACGGGUAGCCGGCCUGAGAGGGUGACCGGUCACAUUGGGACUGAGAUACGGCCCAGACGCCUACGGGAGGCAGCAGUGGGGAAUAUUGCACAAUGGGCGAAAGCCUGAUGCAGCGACGCCGCGUAAGGGAUGGAGGCCUUCGGGUUGUAAACCUCUUUCGCUCAUGGUCAAGCCGCAGCUUGGGGUUGUGGUGAGGGUAGUGGGUAAAGAAGCGCCGGCUAACUACGUG
rnacentral:rRNA from 1 species